rnacentral:rRNA from 1 species
AGGACGAACGCUGGCGGCGUGCCUAACACAUGCAAGUCGAACGAGGUCCAUGCAGUGGCAACACUGCGGAAGACCUAGUGGCGAACGGGUGAGUAACACGUGAGGAACUUGCCCCGGAGACCGGGAUAACCCUCCGAAAGGAGAGCUAAUACCGGAUGUUCUCACUGAGUCGCAUGGCUCGGUGAGAAAAUGGAUUCCGCUCCGGGAGAGCCUCGCGGCCUAUCAGCUAGUUGGUGAGGGUAACGGCCCACCAAGGCAUCGACGGGUAGCUGGUCUGAGAGGACGAUCAGCCACACUGGGACUGAGACACGGCCCAGACUCCUACGGGAGGCAGCAGUGGGGAAUCUUGCGCAAUGGGCGAAAGCCUGACGCAGCAACGCCGCGUGCGGAUGAAGGCCUCGGUGUAAACCGCUUUCAGUGGGACGAACCGAAGACGGUACCCACAGAAGAAGGUCCGGCCAACUACGUGCCAGCAGCCGC